UGAAGAUUGCUGCAUCUGUGAUAGAAUCGGAUGAACUGAAAUGAGAAGAAACAAAAGAAAAUUCAAGAAUGAACUGAUAAAAAAAUCCAGUCAUAGCAAAGUCUUUCUAGCAAGUCAGUCAACUGUCGGCCAUCUUUGGAACGCUCCUUGGAGGCUAUUUCCAGUCAUGACUGAGCAGUUUCUAUCUACUUGAAUGGGGGAACACAGAAAUAAAAAAGUUUUAUAAACAAGAUUCAGGAGGAGCAAGGUCAUUUAAUCCGACCAAUCACAUCGCAAACCGGCUGCUUUGGCACUGUAUACAUGUGAAACAGCUCUCUACAACUGCUCAUAUGUUCUCUUAUCUAAACUUUACACCCAAAGCGGAUGACUGUGUGAAGCUGCUUCUGCAAACCGGCUGCUUCGGCACUGUAUACAUGUGAAACAGUUCUCUACGACUGCUCAUAGGCUGCCCUGGGUGACCAGAAGUGGGUAGACGAAUUGAAUCUUUAACAGAUUUGAUAGUGGAUCUUCUCCUAACAACCUCCACUCUCAUCACGGUGAGAGUUCUCUCUCCUUUUCUAAGCCUUCAUCCAAUACCUUGACCAACCUCCCCUCUCCCUUGAUCUCACCCCCAGACUCUUACCUCUCACUAUCGACUGAUCAGGUGAGAUGGGGGUUAAAAAGGAUUAAGACAAGGAAAGCUGUAGGUCCUGAUGGCAUCGACCCUAGAGUUCUCAGGGACUGUGUGGAUCUGAUUUGUGAGGUGGUCCAGUAAAUUUUUAAUUUGAGCUUACAACUGGAAAAAGUUCCGGCAUUGUGGAAGACUUCCUGUGUGGUGCCUGUACCUAAGAUUGGUAAGCCUACAGAGUUCAAUCAUUAUUGGCCAAUUGCUCUGACGUCACACCUGAUGAAGACUCUAGAAAGACUUGUACUUAACCACUUACAACCUCUAGUGCACUCUGCUAUGGACCUUCUGCAAUUUGCUCAUCAACCAAAUAUUGGGGUAGAGGAUGCAGUUAUCUUCCUUCUGCAGAGAUCUUUAGCCCAUCUAGAGGAGGCUGGGAGCAUUGUGAGAAUCAUGUUUUUUUUAUUUCUCCAGUGCAUUCAAUACCAUUCAGCCUUCACUGCUUAGAAUUAAGAUGGAGAAAGCAGGAGUGCAUUUUAGCUUGGUAAACUGGAUAACUGACUAUCUCACAAAUAGACCUCAGUAUGUGAGAAUGCAGGACCCUGUGUCUGAAGUGGUUAAGUGCUGUACAGGAUUCCCAGAAGAAACUGUAUUAGCCCCUUUCUUAUUUACCCUCUAUACAUCCAACUUUCAGUACAACUCUGGCAGCUGUCGUCUUCAAAAAAUUUCAGACGACUCCGUAGUUUGUGGAUGUAUUUCUGAACAUAAUGAGGGUGAAUAUAGGGAGUUGAUUAAGAACUUUGUAGACUGGUGCCAGCUGAACUGCCUCCAGCUUAAUACAAGUAAGACAAAGGAAAUUGUAGUGGAUUAUCAAAGGAAGUCACAUCAAAUAAUACCAGUAAACAUCCAGGGGAUGGACAUUGAGACUGUCAAAUCAUAUAAAUACCUGGGUGUUUAUCUAAAUAACAAGUUAGACUGGUCUGUGUCACAUCUAGAUGUGUUUUUGUUCAUGUUUUGUGUUCAUGUCUUUUAUUUUAAAGUUUAGUUCCUGUUCCUGUUCAGGUCAUGUGGUUUCAUGUCACAUUAUUUCCAUGCCAUGUUUGUUCCUGUUUCCUUGGUGAUGUGAUUUCAUGUUUCCCUCCAUGUUCAUGUGUCUUGUUUUUAUUGGUUUAUUGUUUUAUCUUGUUAUCAGUUAUGUCUUGUCAUUAGUUAUCUUGUCAUGUUUCUCCCUUGUCCAUGUAUUUAAGCCUCAUGUUUGUCAUUGUCCAUUGUCAGGUAUUGUUUAUGUAACGUUGUUUGGUAGUAAAGUCAUGUCAUGUCAAGUCUAGUUUAGUUCAUGUUUAUGUUUUCUGUUCACAGUUUCUGGAUUUCACGUUGUUCUAAAUAAACACUGCACUUGGGUUCUACACUUCAUCAUCUGCCAGUCAUUGCCAGCAUCAUUACAGUCUGAUAACACAAACUAUUUAUAUAAGAAAAGUCAAAGUUGCAUUCAUCUCUUGAGAUGACCGAGAUACUUUGGUGUGUGUCAGGUACUGUUAAAGACUUUCUAUGAAUCUGUAUUAGCAUCUGUCAUUUUGUAUGUUCUGGUAUGUUGGGGGAGGUAUCUUGGAAAGAGAAAAAAAAAAAACUUAAGUUAAUUAGAAAGGCCAGUUCUGUUGUGGGAUCCUCCCUAGGAGACGAGAGGAUGACUAAGAACUAUCUUGUAUUUUAGGCAAUAACUCUCAUACCCUCCACAAGGCUCUGGGCAGCACGUUCAGUGCAAGGUUAAUUCAUCUGCGCUGCUCAAAAGAGCAUUACUGAAAGUCUUUUUUGCCAUCUGCCAUAAGAUUGUACAAUCAAUAUUAUACACGAUUGAUUUGUUACUGAUGUAAUAUUAUUAUGAUGUAGAGCUUGGGUUGGUGCAGUAUUGUUUAUUGUCUGUUGUUUUGCUUUGUUCUUGUUGUUUUUUAUCUAUUAAAUUAAUACAUUUUAAAUUAUACAUUUUUAAAGAUAUGGAUUGUGUUGCUGCUGUAACAUGUGAAUUUCCCCCUAGUGGGAUCAAUACAUUUAUCAAUCAAUCAAUCUAUCUAUCAUUUAUUUGUUCUCUUAUCUAAACUUUCCACCCGGAGCGGCAGACUGCGUGAAGCUGCUUCCGUAAACCGGCUGCUUUGGCACUGUAGGCUACAUAUGAAACAGCUCUCUACGACUGCUCAUAUGUUCUCUUAUCUAAAUUUCCCACCUAGAACGGCCGACAGCGUGAAGCUGCUACCGCAAACUGGCUGCUUUGGCUCUAUAUACAUGUGACACGGCUCCCUAUGACUGCUCAUAUAUUCUCCUAUCUAAAUUUCCCACCCGAAGCGGCCGGCUGCGUGAAGCUGCUUCCACAAACCAGCUGCUUCAGCACCGUAUACAUGCUAAACAGGGGCCGGUUGCACCAGCUAUACGCAAGUUACAACUUAGCCUAGUUGUGGCGUAAAUGGGCACUAAGUCACAAUUUACAUACUACUAAAUAUUUGAGCAUUUCACCAUUACAUUUAGGUAGGAUGUAACCCUACAUAUAAACUAAAUAUUUAACGGAGUAACGGAUGGAAUAAAAAAGACUCAUUUAAAGACAUCAAUGAUCUCAUGUUUUGGUUGACAGGCUUUAGUCCUUUCAACAUAUAUGAUGAUGUUGGCAUUUACACUCGUUUACAUUUACGGGAGAAAACAUUAUGUAAAAAUAAAUAAAUAAAUAAUAAUAAAAAAAAAAAAAAAUAAAAAAAAAAAA